UAUGGUAUUGCAGCAGCCGCGGUAAAACGUAGGUCACAAGCGUUGUCCGGAAUUACUGGGUGUAAAGGGAGCGCAGGCGGGAAGACAAGUUGGAAGUGAAAUCUAUGGGCUCAACCCAUAAACUGCUUUCAAAACUGUUUUUCUUGAGUAGUGCAGAGGUAGGCGGAAUUCCCGGUGUAGCGGUGGAAUGCGUAGAUAUCGGGAGGAACACCAGUGGCGAAGGCGGCCUACUGGGCACCAACUGACGCUGAGGCUCGAAAGUGUGGGUAGCAAACAGG
rnacentral:rRNA from 1 species